rnacentral:rRNA from 1 species
GACGAACGCUGGCGGCACGCCUAACACAUGCAAGUCGAACGGAGCAAAUUAGUUUACUAAGGUGCUUAGUGGCGGACGGGUGAGUAACACGUGAGCAACCUGCCUUUCUGAGGGGGAUAACGUUUGGAAACGAACGCUAAUACCGCAUAACAUAUGUUUAUCGCAUGGUAGAUAUAUCAAAGGAGUAAUCCGCAGAAAGAUGGGCUCGCGUCUGAUUAGCUAGUUGGUGAGGUAAUGGCUCACCAAGGCGACGAUCAGUAGCCGGACUGAGAGGUUGUACGGCCACACUGGGACUGAGACACGGCCCAGACUCCUGCGGGAGGCAGCAGUGAGGAAUUUUGCGCAAUGGGGGAAACCCUGACGCAGCGACGCCGCGUGGAGGAUGAAGGCCUUCGGGUCGUAAACGUCCUGUCAGAGGUGAGAAUACCGCAAGGGUUGACGGUAACCUCAGAGGAAGCCCGGCUAACUACGUG